rfam:Phlebiopsis gigantea 11061_1 CR5-6 unplaced genomic scaffold PHLGIscaffold_380, whole genome shotgun sequence.
GGCUCAGUGGUCUAGUCGCAUGAUUCCUGCUUCGGGAGUUUCCCCUGGUACAUUCAACCAGAAACUGCAGGAGGUCCCGGGUUCAAUUCCCGGCUGAGCCC